GCAUGUACUGAAAUGUCUUAAAUAUAGUACAACAGAGGAAAGCUUAUUUUUAACACAGAAGAAAUUUUAUUUAAGCAAGUGUAAAUAGAAUUGUGAAUCCAGAAGGUGACCACAAAACACCCCAACAAUGUCAUAUGAAUGAACAGAAUAAAAUGUCCCGUAUCAUUCACUGCAGUGCAGCUCAAAUCAAUACGACAGUGCAAUUAACCUGACAGGACGGAUAUGUAGAAUCCGUUCCGCGUUUUCCAGCUCACUUACUGUGCUAACUGAGAUAUUCAAUUAAGGAUUCCUCUUCCCACUCUGAAGCGGCUCUCCAGGGCAGAUCUUCCGAGCGACCCACCCUGUGUUAGAAAUAGGAAAAUCCAAUAAUAACAACACUAGAAAAAAAAAAAAAAAAUAGAAAAAAUGAGGCAACUUUGAUCACGCAUGCUCCCUUGUCAUCCACCUUAUACACAACAUUUGUUCUAAGUUGGAAAGUCGCGGAAAAGCCAGGAAGUAACGUUACAGUAAGCCAAUCAGCUGAGGGGAAGCAUCUCGUGUUUAAAAUGCCUGUGAUAUCCAAGAGAAGGCGUCAACAGACUGCUAUGUAAGAGUCUAGUGUGAACGUGCAAGCUAACUGUUGGCAAGAAGAAGACAGUGAACCACAGGACUGAGACAAAACUGGAGCACUCAAUAUAUCUUGAAGUGCUCCUACAAGAACAUCAAACUGUACAUUCACCAUGAACUCAUGCGUCUUCAAAAAACAGGGGAUUUUCUGCUGACAAGGCUCAUAAAAAAGGAUGAAAAAGAGAUUGGCAGAGGCCCUAGUCUUCCACUUUUCAUAUUUCCCUUUUAAAAAGUGGCGCACUGGUUCUGUGAGAGACAUCAAAGGGGCCAAAGGAGGGCCAGGGAGCCUCUAUUCACUUUUCCACCUCCAUAAAAGCUUCCCAUAUCUAACCCCUAGUGACUGGCUGGCCCUAUCAUUCAAAUGUCCCAGCGCUCUUUGUGGCUUCCCCAGGACCACAGUGAAAUGAUCUCUUUUGUUGCGCAUCAUUAGUUCCAUCUGUUGUGAGAGCCUGGCUGUCUGUUCCGAGGGCAGGACGACGUGAUGGUGGCCGGGGGCGACGCGAAAGGGCCGCGUCCCCACGACUCGUGUCCCGACCUCGUCCUCCUUCUCCUGGAACAUUGAUGCUCCCUUUCUUUCCCUCCCUCUCUCUCUCUCCUCACAGAUGACACUAUGUCUGUCACUGCUUACUUAUUUAUGCAUCCGGAGGAAGGCAAAGCAUCCUGUGCACGUUUUAUUAAAACUGGGCCUUUUUUUCUGAAACAAAAAUGUAAGCGUAUUUUGAUUGAGAGAAUGGAGACUGGCCUUAUAUAUGAUGAUGUCAUGGGAACAAAAAAUCUGUUUAAUAAAACUAAUGCAAAAUAGAGUUUCAUAGCCAUUAAAGAAUAUUUAUAGCCAGUGGCCAGUGAGUUUUCAUAUGCAAGGUAUAUAUUAGACGAGAAGGGCCUACGGUGAAGAAAAGAAAAAAAAACUGUUAUUCCUCCGAAGCUCGUAGGCGGAUGUAAAGUGAAAAGAAAUACAAAUAUUGUCCGUGUUUUCACAACACUGUAUUAAAGUGGCUUUGGCUUGUGAAUAUUCAUGAGGAUAAUGAAGUAUCAACAUAAAGCUGGACAGCAAAAUUGUACUCCAAAGUCAAGAGGCAAACGUCUCAAUUAUUUGGUACAUAACUAAAGGCUUAUGCAAAUGUGCAGUAAAAACAAAAUUAAAACGGUUUUAUUCAUAUUAAUGAAUUCAACAUCUGUUUAAUCUAAUUUCAUACUGUGUAGGAAAAAAAUAACCAUUUUAGUUUCAUAAACUCUGUCCGUUUUGUGUUCGUAUAGGUGGUCACCGGCGUCUUCCAGUUCGGAUUUUUCUUGCAUCAUGGUAUCUGUGAUGCACCAAACAGAUGUAACAUUUUCUCUUGGCAAGGAAAUAUUUUAUUCAUGAUUUACAUGAAUGAUAAAUCUCAUGAAAGUCUUAGUGCUGAUGGGCAUACGCAAUUUAACAUCUGUCUUCCUCAGAAUAAUUAAUAGAGCAGCAGAACACAGGGGACUGAGGACUCCUCUUCUUCUUCACUUUCUGUAAUUAUUGUCAAAAACAAAGCAAGCCUAGAUUUGCAUCUUGCAGUCUACUUGCUGUUCUCUUGCCUAACAAAACAACUUUUAAAGAAGCGAUUUCCAGAUUAACUCAAUGUGGAAGUUUUGUCUGAAAGUUCUUUCUGGCGUUGUGUUGUUGUGAGGUGAAAGUGAUACUUUAAAACAACAGUUUCGAUGUUCUAUUUAUUUUAA